rfam:Oryza brachyantha chromosome 1, whole genome shotgun sequence.
AGGUUUAGCCGACGAGGACAUGAUGUCCUACGUUCUUGCCGGACUCGACGACGACCACGAACCAGUCGUCUCCUCCCUCGUUGGUAGGGCAGAACCAGUUGCUUUCUCUGAAUUAUACUCACAACUUUUAAGCUUUGAGU